rnacentral:rRNA from 1 species
UACGUAGGGUGCGAGCGUUAAUCGGAAUUACUGGGCGUAAAGCGUGCGCAGGCGGCUUUGCAAGACAGAUGUGAAAUCCCCCGGGCUCAACCUGGGAACUGCAUUUGUGACUGCAAGGCUUGAAUCCGGGAGAGGGAUGCGGAAUUCCAGGUGUAGCGGUGAAAUGCGUAGAUAUCUGGAGGAACACCGGUGGCGAAGGCGGCAUCCUGGACCGGCAUUGACGCUGAGGCGCGAAAGCCAGGGGAGCAAAGCGGGAU